rnacentral:rRNA from 1 species
UACGUAGGGUGCAAGCGUUGUCCGGAAUUAUUGGGCGUAAAGAGCUCGUAGGCGGUCUGUCGCGUCGGCUGUGAAAUCCCGAGGCUCAACCUCGGGUCUGCAGUCGAUACGGGCAAACUGGAGUGUUGCAGGGUAGACUGGAAUUCCUGGUGUAGCGGUGAAAUGCGCAGAUAUCAGGAGGAACACCGGUGGCGAAGGCGGGUCUCUGGGCAACAACUGACGCUGAGGAGCGAAAGCGUGGGGAGCGAACAGG